GAAGCUCGCCAGACCGCCGCUGGUGCAAUCUCCGAAAGGAGGCACUGGAGGAACGUCCGGACUGCACAGGACAGCGUAGGAGGUAACUCCUCUCCACCGUGAGGUGAGGAUCAGAGCAACAGAGACGAGUCGGACCGGGGCAACCCGGUUCGGGUGAAACGGGCAAUCUCUACGCGCAGCAAUACCAAGUAGGCCAGCGUUGAUGUGGUUCCGCAGAGUUGGCGGGUAGGUAGCAUCGAGCCGGGUGGGCAACCCCCGGCCCAGAGUAAUGGCGGUCACGCAGCGGGCAACCGCUGUGCACAGAAUCCGGCUUAUCGGCGAGCUUCACAC
rnacentral:RNase_P_RNA from 2 species